UUGACAUCCAGAGAUUAGCAGAGAUGCUUUAGUGCCUUCGGGAACUCUGAGACAGGUGCUGCAUGGCUGUCGUCAGCUCGUGUUGUGAAAUGUUGGGUUAAGUCCGCAACGAGCGCAACCCUUACCCUUUGUUGCCAGCACGUAAUGGUGGGAACUCAAAGGAGACUGCCGGUGAUAAACCGGAGGAAGGUGGGGAUGACGUCAAGUCAUCAUGGCCCUUACGAGUAGGGCUACACACGUGCUACAAUGGCGCAUACAAAGAGAAGCGACCUCGCGAGAGCAAGCGGACCUCAUAAAGUGCGUCGUAGUCCGGAUUGGAGUCUGCAACUCGACUCCAUGAAGUCGGAAUCGCUAGUAAUCGUAAAUCAGAAUGUUACGGUGAAUACGUUCCCGGGCCUUGUACACACCGCCCGUCACACCAUGGGAGUGGGUUGCAAAAGAAGUAGAUAGCUUAACCUUCGGGAGGGCGUUUACCACUUUGUGAUUCAUGACUGGGGUGAAGUCGUAACAAGGUAAGCGUAGUGCU
rnacentral:rRNA from 1 species